ACGGGUGAGUAAUGUCUGGGAAACUGCCUGAUGGAGGGGGAUAACUACUGGAAACGGUAGCUAAUACCGCAUGACGUCUUCGGACCAAAGUGGGGGACCUUCGGGCCUCACGCCAUCAGAUGUGCCCAGAUGGGAUUAGCUAGUAGGUGGGGUAAUGGCUCACCUAGGCGACGAUCUCUAGCUGGUCUGAGAGGAUGACCAGCCACACUGGAACUGAGACACGGUCCAGACUCCUACGGGAGGCAGCAGUGGGGAAUAUUGCACAAUGGGCGCAAGCCUGAUGCAGCCAUGCCGCGUGUAUGAAGAAGGCCUUCGGGUUGUAAAGUACUUUCAGCGAGGAGGAAGGCAUUGUGGUUAAUAACCACAGUGAUUGACGUUACUCGCAGAAGAAGCACCGGCUAACUCCGUGCCAGCAGCCGCGGUAAUACGGAGGGUGCAAGCGUUAAUCGGAAUUACUGGGCGUAAAGCGCACGCAGGCGGUUUGUUAAGUCAGAUGUGAAAUCCCCGAGCUUAACUUGGGAACUGCAUUUGAAACUGGCAAGCUAGAGUCUUGUAGAGGGGGGUAGAAUUCCAGGUGUA
rnacentral:rRNA from 1 species